AUACGGAGGGUGCGAGCGUUAAUCGGAAUUACUGGGCGUAAAGCGUACGUAGGCGGUUGGUUAAGUUAGAUGUGAAAGCCCCGGGCUUAACCUGGGAACUGCAUUUAAAACUGGCGAACUAGAGUUUAGUAGAGGGGAGUGGAAUUUCAGGUGUAGCGGUGAAAUGCGUAGAGAUCUGAAGGAACACCAGUGGCGAAGGCGACUCCCUGGACUAGAACUGACGCUGAGGUACGAAAGCGUGGGUAGCAAACAGGAUUAGAUACCCCGGUAGUCC
rnacentral:rRNA from 1 species